ACUCCUACGGGAGGCAGCAGUAGGGAAGUCUUCCACAAUGGGCGGCAAGCCUGAUGGAGCAACACCGCGUGAGUGAAGAAGGGUUUCGGCUCGUAAAGCUCUGUUGUUAAAGAAGAACACGUAUGAGAGUAACUGUUCAUACGUUGACGGUAUUUAACCAGAAAGUCACGGCUAACUACGUGCCAGCAGCCGCGGUAAUACGUAGGUGGCAAGCGUUAUCCGGAUUUAUUGGGCGUAAAGAGAGUGCAGGCGGUUUUCUAAGUCUGAUGUGAAAGCCUUCGGCUUAACCGGAGAAGUGCAUCGGAAACUGGAUAACUUGAGUGCAGAAGAGGGUAGUGGAACUCCAUGUGUAGCGGUGGAAUGCGUAGAUAUAUGGAAGAACACCAGUGGCGAAGGCGGCUACCUGGUCUGCAACUGACGCUGAGACUCGAAAGCAUGGGUAGCGAACAGGAUUAGAUACCCUGGUAGGAUAGCG
rnacentral:rRNA from 1 species